AGAGAGAGAUUGAGGAUGAUAGUGGUAUUUUGAUGAUUAAUAUAAUGAUUAAGAGUAUGUUACGAGUUAAUUUGAUACAUCAUUAAUAAGUCCGUCACUCUCGAUACAUUAGUAUAAUGAGAUAAAGAUGCAUUUCAUUGAUUAUUAAUGAGAUAAAAUUUGCGAUAGGAAAGGGAUAGUGAAUUCUAAAAUUCUAAUUCGGCAAAGCUUCAAGUGAGACAUACUCUUAAGUGGACAAUAGUAAUUUUCAUUGUUUGGAGUAUGUAGCACUACCAUGACAUAUAUUCAAAAUUGCUUAAAGUUUAUUUCAUUGAUUACAUGGAUGAAUCUAACCUUAAGUUGCAGCAAAGUGCGGAUUGAGUCGACCCCAUGAUUGAUUGAGUCGACCCCGGCACAUCAAGAAACCAUCUGGCACACUUCUGCAAAAAUGACACGGAUGAACAGUACUUGGGUCGACCCAAGCAAAGGAUGAGUCGACCCAAUCCUUAAGCCUCAAGAAAACAGUUCUCUGGAAACCCUGAGAGGGUCGACCCAAAUGAAACUUGAGUCGACCCAAACUUGAGUCGACCCCAAGUUAACAUGAGUCGACCCAAAGGCAAUGACAUUCAAAAAUAGGUUCUCUGAAAAACCUGAGAGGGUCGACCCAAGUGGAAGUUGAGUCGACCCAACUGAACCUUGAGUCGACCCAAAAAGUGUUGAGUCGACCCAAGUGAAGGAAGGCUGAAAUACAAGGUUCUGUGGUUUCUGAGAGGGUCGACCCCAAUGAUGCUUGAGUCGACCCAAGUGAAAGUUGGGUCGACCCCAGUAAAAUUUGAGUCGACCCAAGCACGGGCAGAAGCAUAACGGCUAGUUCCGCAGAAAUAC
rnacentral:lncRNA from 1 species